AGUGAACGCUGGCGGUAGGCCUAACACAUGCAAGUCGAACGGCAGCACAGUAAGAGCUUGCUCUUACGGGUGGCGAGUGGCGGACGGGUGAGGAAUACGUCGGAAUCUACUUUUUCGUGGGGGAUAACGUAGGGAAACUUACGCUAAUACCGCAUACGACCUACGGGUGAAAGCAGGGGAUCUUCGGACCUUGCGCGAUUGAAUGAGCCGAUGUCGGAUUAGCUAGUUGGCGGGGUAAAGGCCCACCAAGGCGACGAUCCGUAGCUGGUCUGAGAGGAUGAUCAGCCACACUGGAACUGAGACACGGUCCAGACUCCUACGGGAGGCAGCAGCGGGGAAUAUUGGACAAUGGGCGCAAGCCUGAUCCAGCCAUACCGCGUGGGUGAAGAAGGCCUUCGGGUUGUAAAGCCCUUUUGUUGGGAAAGAAAAGCAGCAGGUUAAUACCCCGCUGUUCUGACGGUACCCAAAGAAUAAGCACCGGCUAACUUCGUG
rnacentral:rRNA from 1 species